rnacentral:lncRNA from 1 species
GAUUUGAUAAAAGUGAACAACAAAAAUAAUAUUACUAAACUCACACAUUAUAUUGAUAUCGCUAUUAAUGAUCUUAUAGAAUAAUCACAAUUGACAUCCUUAUGAAUAUCUUAAAGAGAAAGGAAUUAUAUCAUUUACGGUUAUUAUGUAGUAUAUUUACAAGAAUUAUAUUAUGAUAUAAGAAUCAGAAUGGAUCCCUUAUUAUUUUCACAGGUCAUGAAAAGUAAUGAUUCUGAAAAGUAAUAUGAUGCAAUAAAAGAUGAGUUAAAAUCAAUAACUAGAAUGGUGUUUGAUAAAUUUAUCGAAUUAUCCAAUAACUGUAAAAGAAUCUAUUAUAUAAAUGUGAUUCAAAGGAUAUUAUCAAACGAUAUAAUGGUCAGACUUCUACUUAAAAGUUGUACUCAUAAAAAAUGUAUCGAUCAUAACGAGAUAUUUAGUUUUUAUUUAACUCAUUAAAAAUCGUCAUGAUAUUAGUGAUUUAUUAUGAGUUUGAGUUAUAUCAUAAUGAUAUGAAAACAUUUUUUUUUUUAAGGAUCUAGCUUUAUAUGGGUUACUAUAAAUGAUUUCCAAAAAAAUGAAAGAAAUAUAAAAUUUGGCAUGCAAAUUCAAGAAUUCAUUUAUGACAUUAAACAAGCUUCAAGAUAAUGAUAUAUAAAAGUUCUUGAUAUCAUUAUUUCUUCAAAUUUAAGGUAAAUACUAUUGAUCAGUAUUUAUAUCAGUGAGAGCAAGUUUAUUAUAUUGGUCUUAUAUAUAGAUAAUAUUUUACCUUACCAAUAAUGAUUUUGGUUUAUUAUAAUAUAUCAAGAAAUUUAUCACUAAGAGUUUUUAGAUAAUUGAUAUGAAUGAGAUAUCUUAUAUUAUUAAGAUUGAGUAAUUCAAGGAUAGACCUCAACGAUUGUGAAAACUAUCUUAGAAAAGAUAUAUCAACCGAGUCUUGAAAAGAUUUAAUAUGCAGCUUUGUUUAGUAAAUCAUAAAAAUAAAAUUUUAGUCAAUAGUAAAUACUUUAAAUGACUUGAAAACAAUCAGAUAAAGAAAAUAGUCUUUGUAUAUGCACAGUUGGAAGUCUAUGCUCAAGUUUAUGUCAAAACAUAUAUCAGUUUUAUAGUUAAAAUACUAGGUAUAUAUUGGAGUUACCCAGAAGUAAAAAUAUUAAAAGACUACAAAGAAAGUAAUAAGAUAUCCAGAAGGGACAAAGGAUUAUAUGCUCAGAUGUAUGAAAUUAUAUCAGCUUGAAAUGAUGGCAUUUUUCAGACGUUGAUUAUAUAAGUUGCCUCGAUAAUAAGAAGUUCACCUUACGAUUAAUAUAUGUAACAAUUAGAGAGGUAAUUUAUUAUUAUUAAUAAUAGAAGUUGAUUUUGUGACAUGCAUUGAAGCUACUGAUCAAACUUUUUUACUACGAAAUAUCAUCUCAGAACUUGGUGUAGUCAGACUUAAUUGUCAAGUCGUUAAAGAUAUUUUAUGAUAUUAUAGUAAUUUUCUUCUCUAAAAAUGAUAAGUACUAUUGCAUCUCUAUGCAUUAUGGUAUAAAGUACUUAAUGGUUAGAGAAUAGGAGUCCAGAAACAUCCAGUAUCAAUUAAUUGCUUGAGUUUCACUAUAUUAAUUGCUGAUCCAUUCACUUAGGACUUACAGCUUUAGUAUUUUGAAAAAACAUAUUCUUAUGAUUGGGUUUGUGAGCAAUCCAUAAAGGAUAUAGUGAUAUAUGUUUGAGUGGGUACUAUAAUUAACAUUCUUACUUACGUACUUAAAGUUAUUUGUUUAUGCUAUCUUGUUCACAAUUAUGUAUGUACAUAUUAUGGUUGAAUGUGAUGACUGGAUUGUCAUGACAAGAUAAAUUAUAUGGGUUAUUUUAGACUGCACUAGGAAAGACUAACAGUGUUGUGGAACAUAUAAUGAAGUGUGAUACUUAUGACAUACAACUGCUAUGACUCGUAUUAUUAAUCAAACUUAAUAUAAUAUUAUUAUAUUUAUUGGACUUAUUAGCCUAUCUUUUAAAAUUCGCGUGCGUAUAUAUAGUUUUUCUAAAAUUUUAUAAUCCAUUUGAGUCAAAUUAUUUUUAAAUAAAUUUUAUUUAUUUAUUUUUGAUUUUAAGUCAUUUUGUACCUUACUAAUUAAUGGGCCAAGUAAGAGAAUAUUAGAUUAUGUGACCCUAUUUACUUAGGUAAGAUAUAUUAUAGAUAUGAUUAAAUUCUGAUUAUGGUUAUUGGCUAAUAGAAAAGAAGUUUAUAUUAUAGUAGGAUUCCUUAGGGGAUGCCCUUGAUGGGAGGAAUUCUCCUAAUAACUUAUCCUAGACCCAUUGCUCUUGCCUAUAAAUAGACAGGACCUCUAGGGGCUAAACAGAGGCAUCUCAACACAGUUAAGAGAUUAAGAGUUUUCUCUUAAUCUCCCUAAUCCAUCAAUCUAAGUGAUCCUAUUAAAAGAUAGGGAGAAAAGAGAAUGAGUGUUUAGUUCUCCUUGCAUAUUGAUAUCUCAGAUCCGAUGAUGAUUUGUAUAAUAAAAUUUAUUCUUCUGAAUAGUAACGAAAGGUACGCAUCGUAUUAUUGUUUAGAUCCAUUAUUAUUUGAUUUCAGAUUUUGACAUAAAAGUUUGUCCGCAUAGCAUAAUUACAGAUUUUAUGCUAAUAAUAAUAUUUUUAUAUUAUUUUAUAAUGUAUUUCUGGUAUUACUAAAAAUACUAUAACACAAUGUAAAAAUAUUAUAAUUGGAUCCGUCUGUAGGAAAAGAAAGAAAAAAAAAUGAUAUUUCAAGUUUUAGGCAAAAAAUAAAGUAUCAUUUGGGAAUUUUAAAAAUAGGUGUCGCUUCUAAAAAAAGAUGAUUUUCCUUCCCAGUAUAUAUAUAUAUAUAUAUAUAUAAAGAGUGAGAGAGAGAGAUCAAAUAUCUUAAAUUCUUUAUUGCCUCCUACUGUCUCUCCCUUUUCCAUAUCCUAAAAUGACUGGUUUCAGAACUUGACAGAGCUAGAAGAAGGUUAUUUGGAUUGGUUUUGCAGUGUACAAGAAGAGAAAAAAAAAAUUGGAGGACUGGCAAAUUAUAAUAUCAUAUUAGGAGAAUAAAAUAGUGAAGGUUUUUCUUUUUUAAUUAAAAAUUAUCAUUAACAAAAUAUUUUUUUUCUUUCAUAUAAUGUUCAAGAAAUGGUGGUGGAUGUGAUGAGUUUUGACAAUUGCAUGCUUCAGCAUAUGAGGUACUCCUUCAAGAAAACUUCUCUCAAAGAAAAUGAUGCUGAUUUAUUAUCUUUUUCUUAUAUCUUCCUUCUUUAAUGAUUUCUCUUGCUAAGGUCAUAUAAAACUAUUAUUCUCAAGUUUUACGGGCCUUUUACUACUUGAGAUGCAAAGAUAUAAGUUAAAAAACCUACUAAUGAUAAGCUUAUUGUAAAUGUAUAUCGAUGUAUGAACACAUGGUAUAUCAUUUAAUGAAAACAAACACUCAAGAGAGAGGAAGAAGAUAGAGAUGUUAGAAGAGAAUGAAAGAUACAAAUUAUAGAAGAAGUUGUAUUUCUUAUUGAGAUAUUCUUCCUAUUUAUACAGGUUAGGAGGGAGGAUUUUCCACAACAGAGUAGCGAGAUUUCAUGAGUAAGUCUGCUAAUUGAUCAGUCAUAUGUACAUAAGAAAUACGUAGUUGACGUCGGACAACUUGAUCUCGCAGAAAAUGGAAGUCGAUAGCAAUAUGUUUCAUGCGGGAGUGGAACACCGGAUUAGCGCAUAGAUAGGUAGCUCCGACAUUAUUACAAUAUAUUGUAGAAAUAGAAGUGGAAUUGAUGUUAAGUUCCUUGAGCAGAUUUGUGACCCAAUUGAGUUCUACAGUGGCAGUGGCGAUCGCAUGGCAUUCAGCUUCAGUUGAAGACCGUGCGAUUGUCUUUUGCUUCUUAAAACUCCAAUUGAUUGGAUUAGCUCCAAGGAAGAUAAUAUACUCUGAUGUGGAUGUUCUAUCAUCAAAGUUGUUUGCCCAAUCAACAUCGACAAAGGCAUGAAGAUGAAAUGGAGAGUGUUUACGAAAAAAGAGACCAUGAUUGAGUGUUCAUUUAAGAUAUCGCAGGAUUCGUUUAACUACAGACCAAUGCAUAGUAGAUGGUCUCUGCAUAAAUUGUGAUAAUUUAUUGACGGCAAAUGAGAUGUCUGGAUGGGUGAGAGCUAAGUAUUGUAAAGAGCCAACUACUUGUCGAUAUUGAGUGGGUUUCGUAGCAGUACUUCCAUUAGAUAAUUUGAGAGAUUCAUUAGCAGAGAGGGGAGUUAUAACCGUAUUUGCAUCUUGCAUAUUUGUCUUUGAUAAUAAAUCUUGAAUAUACUUUCUUUGUGAUAGGAAGAGACCUGAAGAUGUAUAUGUUGCUUCUAUGCCCAAAAAGUAGUUCAAGGUUCCUAGAUCUUUAAGGGAGAAUCGAUCUACCAAUUACUUAAUGAAUGCUUGGAUCUCUAUAAGAUUGUUGCCUAUGACAAUAAUGUCAUCUACAUACACCAAAAUAUAUAUUAUGUCUCCAUGUUGUUGUUGUAGAAAUAACGAGGUAUUAUACUUGGAGUUAAUAAAGUCAACUGAAGUCAAAAAAGAGCCAAAUUCAGUGUACCUCUUGGAGCCUGACGAAGUCCAUAAAUAGCUUUUUGAAGUUUGCAAACAUGCCUUGGAUACUGAGGAUGAAUGAAACCAAAAGGUCGUUGCAUAAAAACACCUCCAGUUAGAGUCCCUUGUAAAAAGGUAUUAUUAACAUCCAAUUAUCGUAAUUGCUAGCCUUUAGUGGUGGCCAGACUCAAGAUAAGUCAGAUUGUUGUGGGCUUAACAAUGGGACUAAAUGUCUCAGUGAAAUCAACUCCAGGUCGUUGAUAAAACCCUUUGGCAAUAAGAUGUACUUUGUAUCGAGCAACAGAUCCAUCUGGGUUCCGCAUAAUUCGAAAAACCCACUUAUACCCAAUGAUGUUUUGUGUAUGAUGAAAGAGUACUAAGUUCCAUGUUGAGUUAUGGAAGAGGACAUUAUAUUUCUCACACAUGGAGUUAUGCCAGUGUGGAGAUUUUUGAGCUUGAGUAAAGGUGGUGGGUUCAAUGGUAUUAGAUGAGGAAUCUGCGAAAGCAUGUAGGUCAAGGACUUGACCUGGUUUGAAAAUAUCACUCUUGGAGCAUGUUGUUAUAGAAUAUUUGGAGACUAUGGGAUUGUGAGGUUGUGUUGUUGGAAUAAGCGGUUGAGAGUCAUUAACACAAGCCGAGUCAGGUUGAGGUACUUUAGUGUCACUUGGUCUAGAAUGAGGUAAAAAUAAUGAUUGUGUUUCUGAAUAUGUUAUCUCAUCAAUUUGAGAAGAAAAUAAUGGAGUAGUAAUAGAGGGAAUAGGCAAUUGUUGAAUUUGAGUAGUGGUAGAGUGUGAAUCCUGAGGGGAGGAACAUGUCGAUGUUACGAGAGGCUCGUCUAAUUGGAUCGGAGGUAUAUUUCAGUAAAAAAUAUUUAUUGAGGUAGUCUACAUGAUAGGAUAUACAUAGUUUUGGAAAGAAAAAAUAGACUCAAUAAAAAUAACAUGAUAUGAUAACGUGAGAUAAAGAUCAUCGAAACUGUCUAAUCAGAAUACCUGAUAGCAGAUAUAAAUGUCUCUGUGAUAGCUAUUGAUCUAUUAAUAGCAUGCCUUCAAAUUAAGAAAGAUCAUUCAUAGAAACCGUCUAAUCAGAAUACCUAAGACCAAUAAAUACUGAUCAGUACAUAUAAAUUCGAUCGAUUUUGGAGUGAGAACUGAAAGAGAGAGAGAGAGAGGAAAGAAAAAGGUCAUUCCCAUCAUAGCACUGCGGUGCAUCCAAAUCAUGUUGUUGGAUGAGCGGAACCAAACAAAACCAAUCACUGUUUCCCUCAGCACCAUGCGAUGCUGCUGAGGGGAAAUAGUGAUUGAAGCAGAGAGGGAUCAGAUGCCGCCCCCUUACCAACCAAACACUCUGGGAAAGCGAGCUCGCCCGGUGCCACUGCGCAUGUUAAAAGUGGCUUCACCUUUUCGCAGUACUGCAGCGUCCAAAGGUGGCAGCGGCCCUUCUUGCUCCCUCAGUGAUGUCUGACACCAUAUACGAAGACCACAGCAUUGUCAUACGUUGUUUGUUUGAUGAAAUGACUCGUCUCCCAUCCAUCAAUCUUCUCAAGCGUAUCAGUCUCUCUCUUGUGUUUGUUGAUGCACAACUGUGUGGAAGUUUUAUGGACAUGGCAGUGAUUCUCAUACUAUUAAGGAGAAUUGUUUUAUCUCUGCGGGAAUAGAGGAGAAAUCUCCUCUUGGUAUAGAUGAAUCUGCAAGGAUGAGGUGCACUAUGACCAGCCUUGCAGAAAUCAGAUGUUUGAAUGAAAGAGCAUGUUUUAGAGAAAGAGAGAGAGAGAGAGAGAGAGANNNNNNNNNNNNNNNNNNNNGUUCUUUUCCUGCUAGAAUUGAAGCUGCAAGGAUGAGACAAGUCUUGCAGAAAUCAGAUGUUUGAAUGGAAGAGCAUGUUCCAGAGAGAGAGAGAGAGAGAGAGAGAGAGAGAGAGAGAGAGGGAGAGGGAGUCGAUCUAAAUCCUUGCUGGUUUCCAUGGCUUUCGAAAGGGAUUGAGUUGGCAUGGCGAAGCUGAAGCUGAUGAAGGUGGCAAAGUAUUGGAGGAGGAGAAGAGAAGAUGAUGGAUGAUGCAGCAAUAGGGCAGCGCAUUCAUCAUCAUGGAGUGGAAGUCCUUGCGCAUGCAUGUAGUUGUACCACCUCAGCUUGCUUCAGGAAUCUUUGCUGAAGCACAAGCUUUGCAUUCACAGAUAGCAGUCAUCGCUUGAACAAAUCAUUGCUGCCGUCAACUCCGACAGAUUAAAUGAUCCUGCUAUAUAUAAAGAUCUAAACAACAUAUAAAAGAUACAUAGAGGGAAGAAGAUACCAAUGACAACUGCUAAAAGUAUAUACUUCCACACGAAAACAACUCACCCUCACUGGUGCUGAACACUCGAAGAACCUAUUGAAGAAGAUAAUAAUGCAGCUUCAGAAUAAAUGGAUUCUCUCAAACCACUGAAGCUUGAUUCUCUCAAGUGCAUUUCUCUCACUGAUUCUGAACAUCUAAAGAACAUAUUGAAAAAGACAACAAUCACUGAAGCUUGGUUCCCCACAAGACCAACUCUCGUUGAUUCUGAACAGCUACAAAACAUGGAAAAGGUAGAGUGAAGAAUAUAACGAUGGCAGCCACAAUAUAAAUGGAUUCUGUCGGACCACCGAAGCUUGAUUCCCAACAAAAACAACUCUCACAGUGGUUCAAGCGCAUAUGGCUCUGAGCAUCUAAGCAACAUACAAGAGAUUGAGUGAAGAAGAACACAGUGACAGCUACAGAAUAUAUGGAUGCUGUCGGACCAGCGAAGCUUGAUUCCCCAUAAAACAACUCUCGGAAUGAUGCAGAUGCAUCACCCUCAAUGAUUUGGAACAUCUAAAGAACAUAGUGAAGAAGACAACAAUGGCAGCUACAAAAUAAAUGGAUUCUCUCGGACCACUGAAGCUUUGAUUCCCCACCCAAAAAAAACCAACUCUCAAGAGUGAUUUAAGUGCAUCACCCGUCCCUCACUGAUUCUGAAAAGGUAGAGCGAAGAAGAUAACGAUGAUAGCUACAAAAUAUAUGGAUUCUACCGGACCACUGAGCUUGAUUCCCCACCCACAAGAGCGCAUUUCAAAGUGAUUCAAGUGCAACACCAUCCCUGAUUCUGAGCACCUAAACAACUUGCAAAAGGUAGAGUGAAGAAGAUAACAACGACAGCUACAAAAUAUAGGGAUUCUAUAUAUCGGACCACUGAGCUUGAUUCCCCACAAGAUCACCUCUACGAUCGAUUCUUAAGGCUCCAUAAACCCCAACAUCACCAAGGAAUGGCGCGAGUCAAGGACCGUGCAGCUCGGGCGCACGACACAACGAGUUGCUCGAUUGCAGGGAGAAGGCACACAAGCUGCUCGAGGAGGAGAAGCCAUGGCCAGGUGUGGUUGGGGAGCAGGAGAAGAUAUGGAAGCAAGAGCAGCACAGCCAAGUGUUCUUUAUAUUAGCACGAGGAAGCUAAAAGGAGUAGCAAGUGUGCACGCUUGUGUUGCUGUGUAUGGCUUGUUCGUUUGUGUUGCAAGCAUGCAAUGAUGCACUGUGAAGAUGGAGGCCCCCCGCGUCUUCUUUAACCUCGCAUGCCAUUCUUAUCUCUCUCUCUCUCUCUCUCUCUCGUUGCGGUACACAACGCAGUCACGUCUGCUGAGAUGAUAAAGAAGAAGCAGUAAUAAUAUACAUGAUGUGUACAGGAAGGAGAAGACGAAAUAAUAAUAGGGUUUGGAAAAGGGCAAGACACUUGUUGAGUUCUCUUGCGCCAUUCCUGUUGCUUCGCCUCUUGCUCGGAGAUGGUAGACGAUGACAACAUGGUGAUAAGCUUUGGCUUCCGAAAGGGCUGAAAAAAGGCUUCAGAUUGAUUGACGGCAUGGGUUGAUGCUUUUGAACUGAAGUUGUAUGUUGGGAGUGACAGACUUGGAUCUGUCGAUGUUGGUGCAUAAAAUUUGCUCGAAACUGAACACAAAUUUUGUAUUACCAAAGAGAUAUAUAUUGAAGGCUUACAUGAAAAAGGAAGAAAAUAAGCACCACCGAAAAGUAGUUUUAGGAAAACUUUGAAACUGAAUAAAAUUACCAUUUGGUAGUUUAAUCUAAUAUGAUAUAUUCGGUACACCUUUUUUUUAUGGAAUCAAUAUUUUUGAAGGAAAAAAUUAUAAGAUUUCAAAUCCUUAAAUAUGCAGCCUUCACUUUGGCUUCAGUUUCAGGUGGCAUAUUCAACACGUUUUCCUUGCUUUAAUAGUUUCAAUCCAUCACAGCUAACGUGACAAAAUCUCCUGUCAUGGCCAAGUAUUCUGCCAAAAUAAAAUAAAAUAAAAUAAACCAGCAAAGCUGUGUAAUUCCAAAUAGACCAAUCUCAGCACAAAAGGUAUGAUUGUCCAAAACAAGUGGUCUCCCGUAUAGCAAAUUCAAAAUAUAAAAAAAUUUCUGAGCAUUAAAAAGCAGAAACUAGCUUCUUUCUGGUGAUGUAGGACGACAAAUACAUUUUGUUUUUGCCUUCAUUUUGAGUAUAAACACAUGAAAACAAAAAAGAAGGCCAUCUGUGCAGCCAGCCAAAACAAUUCACCAGAUAGACCAUCCAAUGCUAGAUACAGGACAAAUAUAAGGCACCAGGGUAAUCAGGAAGCAAUAUAAGAACAUGUUUGAUGUUUCCCCAUUUAACUAGAACAAAUUGGUCCGAUACCAUCACCCCAACAGUUGAUUGCUUGGCGCCACACCAUAUAGGAAACAUUUCCUUCCAAUAGGCAGCUUCCUGAAAAUGAUAACCUGGAACUCAACCUCACAAAAAUUUAUGAGGAACAGAAUCAAACUCAUCAAAGUCGAAUCUCGGUCUUUCUUUCCCUAUCUGCAAAUCAUAGAAGAUCCAAUCAGCAACCAACAAGUUAAAGGAAGCAGAAUUGUGAAACUCACCCUUGUCAAAUAUGCAGGAUCACAUGACAUAUGUUCAUCUAGAGAACCCAGCUUCUUUGACAAUGCCAUCAACCUGCAUCCAACAAAGCACUCUCUAUAACUAGUGUGUGAAAUGCAUAAAAAAUUGGUGCUGAUGAUGAAACACAUCAACAUAAUCUUUUAAACACGUCAAGACAAUAUAUGAGGAAUCUAAGAGAAUCCAAGUUAACAUCAUAUGAGGAGUCUAAGAGAAUCCAAAGUUAUCAUCAUAUGUUCCUAUUUUGACCUUACAGAUCAAAGCCACUAUCACCUAAGUAAACCUGCACAAGAAACUAACUGUGCAAUGCUAGUGAUGACCAACAGUGCAUUGUAUUAACGGUAUGAUGUACAAGGGUCAGAAAAGAAUCAUCAAAUGCCUAAUAAGAAUAAUUGUACAUUAGAACUAUUUUUUCCUAUUGGUUUGAGAAAAAUGAGUUCAUUAGCCAAUCACUUAACUUGGAGUCUACAAAUUUAAAUCAGACACGACUGAUGUCAAUCGCUGGAUAUUCCUUUCAUGGCAUACAAGAGACACAACUAAGCAAAAUCACAAACCAAGGUAUUCUAAUGCAUGUAGAAAAAUUCUUAGUGAUAUACAGAUGCAGAUGGAGCAAAGCAAGCAUAAAAUUACUGUAAAACCAUGUCUUCUUUAAAAGACAUAUCCACUUAAGCUGCAAAGAGAAAUCUGUGUUAAUAGCCAACAGAAAAUAAAAUAAUCACCUAUUUUUUGUACUCGUGUCAUGUGAUCUUUAACCCACAGCAGACAUCUCUCACAGAAACCAAUUUGAAUUGAAACUACGACAAACAUAAACGGCACAUUUGAUAUUCUUAUCCAAAAAAGUUCUCUAACAUGGUUAUCAGAAGUCAGAACCAGAGGGGCUCGCUGAUCCAACAAGAAAACAAGGAACUAGAAGAAGCAUAAAAUGCAGGCUGACAGAAGAGGAGAAAAAGGAGACGGAGGACUAUAAGGGGGGAGCUACAGCAUGGGUCCAUCGCCAGGGCCCCACUAGGGCCCCAACUUUGGCAACCUACACUCAGAUUGUUGUAAAUGGAUUAUAAAGGAGACUAAGAGAUGAGAAAAAAGAAAACAAAAGAGAAAAAAGGGAAAAACAUAAUAUAAACGUGGAAAAUCUCCCCAAAAUAAGAAAACAAAAUAAAAGCAAGCACAAGUCGAUAUGGAAGCCAAUCCAACUAGACAUAAUGUGGUCACCCUUAGAGUUACAAAACAAGAAAGAGCUCUAUUUAUUCAGUCAAACUGAUUAUAAAUGGUUCUGCUGCUGAAUUAAUUUUCAUACUAGGAUUUAAUGAUAAUAUGGACAAGGAAGAGAUAAGUAGGUAAAAAAGAAAAAGAAGUGAGAAGCAAAUAAUAUAGAAAUAUAGGAGAAUAACAAACUGCACCAUAAGGAACUUUUGUUCCAUUCAAAGCAUUUUAGGUUUUCAGAGCCAAACAGUUCUAUUUUCACAGCCGAACACAGUCUAUGCAUAUAGUCCAGAUCUUUGUUUAUUCAAUAUCGAACCAAAUGUAAUAAAAUAUGAAAGUUUUGCACAUACCCUCUCACAAACAUGCAACCACAUGCACUACUUCCUUUAUUGAAGCCUUUUAGGAUUCUUUAAAUUCACAAAUAAGGACCAAUUUCUUCCACAAAGACAAUAGCAAUGUAUCCAACCAAUUACUUUGACAAAGAGAACAUAUCAUGUUAAAUAGCUAAUGGCCUUUUAAUUAUAAAAGAAAAUCAUAAAAAAAAAGUUAUAUACCUUACCCUAAAACUUCGCAUGACUUGACCUAACCUAAUCCUAAACCAAACAUGGUGACUUGACCUAACCUAAACCAAACAUGGUAGCAUUAGGCUUAAGAAUGAGAUAAUGGAUGUCAAACAAACGCACUUGUGAGGUCAAAAUCAACAUAAUAAAGUUGUCCUCAUAUGAAGGAGUAUUUAUUUGUUUCAUAUACAUCAGAAACUCUACCAAUACCAAGAGUAAUUUCACAGAUCGAGUAUAUACACAGGUGAUAUUUGGUGACAUCCCAUGGCCAUAUGAAAGAAAAAAGUCACAAGAAUUUCCACGAGUAGGAAAAAUGUAGCUUAUUUUAUUUAAACUCUUUUCAAACUCUAUUUUAUCAUGUGCAUCUAUAGCCUAUACACCAUGAACAUGAACUAAGCAAAUUUACACUGGAAACUAACAGCAAUCAUCGUGGUCUGGCAAGACCAAUAAUUUCACUAAUUAGUGCUUUAAGUCAUGGAUUCUAAUUGAUAAGUCCUGGAUUCCAAUCUAAUGGACUGUCUGCCCUAAGGCAAACCACAGUCCACAAGUGUAAUGUUGCAGUCCUAAGCCAAUAAUACAAACUCUAAAAACUUCAAAUAUAAGGUGCAACUGUAGAUGUGACAUGUGCUAGCAAGUAUGAUAAAACAGUUGAUUCAUCAGCAUACGAAAUCAACACAGGCAUCAAACUGGUGGACUGAUAUGAUUCCUUUUUAUAAUCUUUGACUUCCAUUUACACUAAACUAGUCAUUGACCUGUUCUUUAGAUUCCUGGAAACAGAAUGGGUAAUAGUUGUUUGCUCUUGUCAAAAAUAAGCUUGAAGUAAGGUUGCAAUUGCAAUCAAAAUAAUAGAGAAAUGAGUAGAAGGAACAAUGAACAUCAGACUCUACUUGGGAAUUAAAGCAAAAAAGGAACAGAAGAAUAAUUCAUGGUAUGUGCGCAAAGCUAUCUACAGAUCUGUAUCUAGACCAAUGACAGAUUUGUAUUUAUCACAGUUGGAAGUCUCGGAACAUGCUUGCAACAUGGAAGGGCCAUGAACAAAUGAGCGAUGCCUUUAUGGUAACUGAAACAAGUUAAACAUAAAGUGGAAGUUCAUCACAUACCUAUGUAUUGAAGAAUCAAUAUGCUCUAUCAUACCACAAGUUUUAUAUUGCUCAGGAUCCUCAUGAAAACUGACCAUUCCAUCCUUUUGGUUUAUUGUGGCAAAUAUCUCCCCGUCCUGAAUCUGUGAUCAUGAAAAAAAGAAAACUAUGCUAACCAAUCACACAUAUGUUCAUCAUUUAAAAUGGGAUCAAAUCAUGCCCAAACUUACCAUCUGAAGUACAUGCAUUUCAGCUUCCCUUGGGGUCUUCAGUUGGGCAGCAUUUGCUAUAUCUUGCAGUGAGAGGGUCAAGUAUGUCUGAGUGAGCCGUUGAAUAUUGCGCUUGUAUAGAGAAGAUAGAACUUGCUUCACUAGUCCCAGAUUGCUGUCCUGCAAAUUAGAUCAUAAAUUCAAGAUGCAACAGAGAUCACCUUAAGAACAUUAAUCUGCCAGUGUAAAUAAACCACAAGUGUAUAUUUUGAUUCUUGUAGCAAAGAUAAAAGACCAACAAGUUCCAAAUCAGCAUGUCUAAAACACAAGCAAAUGAAAAUUGACAUAAAACUUCAUGAUAACCAUAGUGCAUAAUUAGAUUGCUAAGAUACAUACACAGACUAGAGUUGCUCAAGGCAGAAGAACUCUCUAAUUUAUUAGCUUCAGCGAUAGACAUUAUAAAAUAAAUACAAUACGUACAGAUUGAAAUUUCUCUAGGUUUGUCUGGAUGCAGCCCUCUAAUUCAGAAAACGUCCCAGUGGCAUAGCAAUUAGCAAGAUCAACGUAUGGCUGCCAAAGAAAAAUCAGAGAGUACUUUAGGAGUCAUAAAAAGUUGCUCAAACAAUAUGGACUAAAGCACUACCAAUGGUUACACAAAAAACAUUUCAGUAUCAGCAUCCACAAACAUCACUCAGUAUGAUUAUGCCAUAAGCUCAGCAUAUUAAUGCACCAAACGUGCAUAUAAUCAUCAAACAUGUACUUUAAAGUAACACAAUGGAGCCAGCAACAUCAAACUUAAGACUAUACAAUAAAUUAACAAAUUAUCGUUCUAGAGCAUAAAAUAGUAAGCGGGGAACUUUGAGGAAAACUAAAGUGACAUAUCCAGGCGUUUGCCUGAAAUUUCAGCCAAAAGCCCAUUUUUGGAUAGGUAGGAAGAGAAAUAAAUUGGGUCACACUUACUGUCCUCUACCGGUUCAGUUCAUUUGAACUAUACCACCUGGGAUUACCCCAAUCGCAUGUAAACAAGUAUAUACCAAUCAAUAAAUUCCAGUGCUACUGGUAUUUUAAUCUUUCAUUUGAUCAUCCAUCACUAAUAUUCUGCAUAAAAGCUCUUAUAUCAUACUGAAUAUAUGUCAAAGUCCUACGGGAUUAAGGAAAGAUCACUGUGAAACCUUUCAAAGUUUCUAGCACUUGAAUCCUUUAAUUGCACUUUCACAAUAUACAUAUUUUGUCUCCAAUGUUUUAUCAGCACAGCAACCUCAUACGAUUACACGUUCCAACAGGAGCUGGCUAGCUAGCUUUAUGAAACUGAAACCAAAACACAUUAAAGAUACAGAAGAAAAUAGUUGAGGAUAUUACAGUUGAAAUUAAUUGCAAAAAAAGAAAAUAAAGCUAUCAGAGUAUAUUUGAACAGAAAUUAAAUUUUCUUUCAUGAUUUAUGAAAAACCUGAGUAUGGCUCUUCAAAUUCCUUUGAGCAGUUGAAGAUGUAUACUUCGGAAAUAAUGGAACCUGAUAAAGGUAAUUCAAACACUAUUCAAAAUCCACAUUUUGACAACUUCCUUUAGCAAAAAGAAAGAAAGAAAGAAAGAAAUUACAACAUGUAUAAGCAACGGAAAUAAUUACAAGUAUUUAAAAACUAACUAUAAAAAUAAUUGUUAUUUUCAAGAGAUUCUCUUGAAAUAUAAAAAACUUAAACAUUGUAUAUUCCCAACUAUUUCAUCAUUAGAAUGAAGCCGAUUUGAUAAAGUUAUGAUGUGCACAUGAUUGCUACAACCUUGGAAAAUAACAUGUCAGGCUGUUAUCAAGCAAACACUACAGAGAUCAUUGAUCUUAUUCUUUGUCCUCACCAAAUUCAUGUCUACCAAAGAGAGACCUUUUAUGUAGUUGUCUGAGGUUCCUUAGGUAAUCAACAUUCAUUUUUCUACUGAAAUCAAAGAGUCAAGUGUUCCUCGCAGAGACCUUUUAUGUAGUUGUCUGAGGUUCCUUAGGAUAAUCAACAUUCAUUUUUCUACUGUAAUCAAAAAAUUAAGUGUUUCCCACAGCAUGUAAUAUUACUACUUGCUUAUAUGCCUCCAUGACUCUUUUUCUGGGACAUGCCCCUAGGAUUACACAACAGUUACCAAACCUUAACUCCAUCAUUUUGAGCAUGGAGUAUAAAACAUCCCUGCAAAUCUCUUAGUAGCGAAAAAAUUUCCAUGGUAUAGAAGCAAAACGUAGUCAAAUAGAUAGAAUUUUAAGAUUUGAUCAACCUUUGCAACAUUUACUACACAUAUUUAGACAACCAAGUUUAAUUAUAAACUAAAUCAAGAAAACAGGUGCAAAAAGAUUUAAAUUAGGACGAUAUUAAAAUUGUAACUUUGCAGGAGCACAUAUGCAAGAAAAAAAUAAUUAAAAAACAUCAUAUAUCGGGGAAUUCAAAAGACACUAUUGAUAUCCAUCUUCCAUAGAAAUAAAGUGUUGGAUGCAUAGUAUGCGAACAGCAAAAAUGUGCUCCUUAGAUUUAUUAACAUUUGUAUUGCAAAAAUACAAACAUAUAGGAUCAAUUGAACCCAUAAACUAGUAAAGAGGAUCCACAAUCUAGUACCUCCAAGAUUAUAUCACAAACAUAUUCAAGAAAUAGAAAAUAUUUACACAAAACAAGCUCCAUGUUUCUACAAAUUUAAUGCAAGUCAAGGAUGGAUAACCUAACUCCACACUAAUUCAAAAGUAAAUCACAAGUAUAUAAGAAUAAAAAAUCUAUAUUACAAAGCCACAUGUGGGCAGGACAUCCAUAAAUAGCCCUACAUGUGAGGAAGAUAUAAACAGUUCCUACAUGUGGCAAGCACAAAACAAAGCACAAUCAAUUUAUGAAUUGUGAUAUGAAUUGCAACAAGCAGCUCACUAUUUGUGAAUACAAGUCACAACUAGAACUUCAUUUGAAAAAAUAGGUAAAUCUUUCCAAAUUUAGGCGGUUAUACUUUGACAAAUAUGGCACAAAUAUUGUUAAGACAACCACAAGGAAUGUAAGCUUAUAAUACUAGGGAAAAAAUAUUUUUUUUUCACCAAAUCAAGAGGCUUUAAAUAUUUAUUUAUAGUUUCUAUUGAAGUAAUUUUGGGUCUCCUCAACUUCUCAUUCCAGCGAGAUACUAGCUGUCUCACCUCAUCUAACCACAGCAUCUAUGUACUUCCCUAGAACAAAUUUUUAUCAUUCUCCUUCUCAUUUUAUCCUCCAUCAAAACUACACCAAGUCCUUCAUGACCAUAAACAUUUCUUUCUUUAUUUUUCCUGGAACUCCACAUCUCUAUCUCAACAUUCUCAUAUCAGCGACAAGUUAUAUUUGUUGUGAUCAGGGUCUGCAGUACCGAACUGUACCGCCCGGUACGGGUGGUAUGUAUCGGUCCGACCGGUUGCCGGUACGCGGACCGCCUGUUACCGGUCCGAGUGCACUGUAGCACUGUAGAGUGCUACAGUACUCGACACACCUGAGUGUACCACUCGGUAUACUACCGGUACCGAGCCCAGGUCAAAAUACCGGUACGGUACGGUAUUGCGAACCUUGGUUGUGAUAGUGAAUAUAUCACAUACUACAUUAUAUUACAAUAACCAAUGAGUCAAACACUAUGGUAUUGCUGGAUAAUGAAGCAUUAUAGAAGCUAGAGAUCCUUUGAGGAAACAGAAAUCAAAACAAUAUAAAAGAAAUUAAAUCAUUAUACUGAACCAUAUUCAAGGUCCAAAAAACCAAUAACAUUCCUAGUCUGGAAGCCAGAACAAUUUGCAGGUAAAACCAUGCUUGCACAACAUACUGGUAGGAGUCGGUGAUGAUAAAAAAUAGUCAUCAAUCCUAAACUGGUAAUAUAGCAAAUAAAUUAUUAAAACCUGCAUAACUGGCCAAAUAGUUCUCAGUUUGUUGUCUUUCGCACUUCAAAUUAACAUACAUAGGUAACUAUUAUCUGGCCACAUUUAUCAAGUUUCUAACUCCAAAUUGUUGUUGUGUAUCCUUAAGCCCAGUUUAACAUAAGCAGGAACUUAACUCCAAAUUGUUGUUGUUCAUAGCAAUAGAAGGAUUCUUGAGAUUCUAAUCAGCCUCUUCCCUCCCAUAUUCCUGCUAAUUUUCAGGGCCCUGCCCAUGUUGCUUGUCAUUUAUCAAUAAUCAAAAGAUAUAUUUCGUCACAGGUUGUGUGAUAUAUCUUGAUAAAAGUUCCAGUCUCAGAGUAGAUGGAUGUUUUUACUAUACAGAUUAUCAUUUUUUAUGUUUAACC